CGUCUGUAAACUUUCUUAUGUUCUUAUAAUUACAACUACAGUCAAACCUGCUUGUGACCACUGUUGCAGAUAGCUCUGAACCCCUGCCUGACAGGUAUUGGAGAAUGAAGAAUAGAGCUUACUGUGGUACCAACAGAAGGUAUCAGGGGGCCUUUGACAUAGUGAGGUAAGAAAAGUUUGGUUGGGGAUCUGAGUGUAAGAAACCUGAGACAGCAUGAGAAGCUGCAGGCAACAUGCACUGGCUUCCCUUCAUGGGUUUCAGUAAAAGUGGAAAGGGUUGUGCUGACAAUUCAAUGGGAGAAGCAGGAGAAUUCUAGAAUAAAUAAUACAGUGGUAGUACGUGAGGGGAUUUGGAAAAUGGAAUACAGAAAGGGGAUGAGUGAUGACAGUAGCACUGAGGAAGACAGCAGUCAGUAAAUGAAAAUAGUAGCAACGGAAAAAAGAAACAAAUAAAAGCCACCACAUAAAAGCCUCAUACAUGAGAUACAGCCCUGGUUUCCUUAACAGGUGAAAAGAAAGACAAGUGAUGAAAAGAAAUGGUGGGUGUUGCUAUGCAGAAGAUAGUAUUUGAUUGGCUCAUAAAAUAGAGAAUAAGUGAAUUAUAGCAACAAUAUAUAAGAAGGGGCAAAAAGUGUACCGGGGGCUCGGCACUCGUGCUUUUCAUGUAUCCUGAAACAUUCUCUCUCUCUUCUAAUUUCAACUUCGCAACUGCUUCUGUGAGCCAAAUGAAGGCAGUCCGAAAGCUUCUCCAAACUCAUUUCAACUCUGAAAACUUUCUCUGAAUGUUCUUCGUGGAAGAGCAUUCCAAAAUCUAAAUGUCUUUUCACACACGUUAUCAGGGGCUGUGGGGAUCUGCCUAUUCGUAUCAAGGGUUAAUCUGCAGAGACCUACCUGCAAGGCUGGAGUCAGGACUGCGGGACUUGUAAACAAACACCCGGCGUGGAGUUCCAACCUGGGAUUCAGAGACAGUGUGUGCCAGUUUAAAAGAACAACAACGGCACGGAAACAGAUGCCCACAUGGACAGUCGGGGCAAUUAUGGGCCAGGCAUUGCUGGGCAAAAGCAAUCCUCCACCAGCUGGUCAUGGUUAUUGGUCCAGUUGAUUUACAUCGUUGUUUUUUUAUUUUAUUUUUGAAUCCUGUUUGAAUUGUUCAUUGCCAGUUUGAAUAUGCCUGAAUAACGGAUUGUCAUUUCUGUUUAAAUCAAUACACCUUCAGUUUUUAUUGGAAAA